rnacentral:rRNA from 1 species
UAAAGAGCUCGUAGGUGGUUUGUCGCGUUGUUCGUGAAAUCUCACAGCUUAACUGUGAGCGUGCGGGCGAUACGGGCAGACUUGAGUACUGCAGGGGAGACUGGAAUUCCUGGUGUAGCGGUGGAAUGCGCAGAUAUCAGGAGGAACACCGGUGGCGAAGGCGGGUCUCUGGGCAGUAACUGACGCUGAGGAGCGAAAGCGUGGGGAGCGAACAGGAUUAGAUACCCUGGUAGUCCACGCCGUAAACGGUGGGUACUAGGUGUGGGUUUCCUUCCUUGGGAUCCGUGCCGUAGCUAACGCAUUAAGUACCCCGCCUGGGGAGUACGGCCGCAAGGCUAAAACUCAAAGAAAUUGACGGGGGCCCGCACAAGCGGCGGAGCAUGUGGAUUAAUUCGAUGCAACGCGAAGAACCUUACCUGGGUUUGACAUGCACAGGACGCCGGCAGAGAUGUCGGUUCCCUUGUGGCCUGUGUGCAGGUGGUGCAUGGCUGUCGUCAGCUCGUGUCGUGAGAUGUUGGGUUAAGUCCCGCAACGAGCGCAACCCUUGUCUCAUGUUGCCAGCGGGUAAUGCCGGGGACUCGUGAGAGACUGCCGGGGUCAACUCGGAGGAAGGUGGGGAUGACGUCAAGUCAUCAUGCCCCUUAUGUCCAGGGCUUCACACAUGCUACAAUGGCCGGUACAAAGGGCUGCGAUGCCGCGAGGUUAAGCGAAUCCUUUUAAAGCCGGUCUCAGUUCGGAUCGGGGUCUGCAACUCGACCCCGUGAAGUC